rnacentral:rRNA from 1 species
CAGGGGGCGGGGCUUAGACAUGCAAGUCGAACGAUGAACCACUUCGGUGGGGAUUAGUGGCGAACGGGUGAGUAACACGUGGGCAAUCUGCCCUUCACUCUGGGACAAGCCCUGGAAACGGGGUCUAAUACCGGAUACUGACCCUCGCAGGCAUCUGCGAGGUUCGAAAGCUCCGGCGGUGAAGGAUGAGCCCGCGGCCUAUCAGCUUGUUGGUGAGGUAAUGGCUCACCAAGGCGACGACGGGUAGCCGGCCUGAGAGGGCGACCGGCCACACUGGGACUGAGACACGGCCCAGACUCCUACGGGAGGCAGCAGUGGGGAAUAUUGCACAAUGGGCGAAAGCCUGAUGCAGCGACGCCGCGUGAGGGAUGACGGCCUUCGGGUUGUAAACCUCUUUCAGCAGGGAAGAAGCGAAAGUGACGGUACCUGCAGAAGAAGCGCCGGCUAACUACGUGCCAGCAGCCGCGGUAAUACGUAGGGCGCAAGCGUUGUCCGGAAUUAUUGGGCGUAAAGAGCUCGUAGGCGGCUUGUCACGUCGGUUGUGAAAGCCCGGGGCUUAACCCCGGGUCUGCAGUCGAUACGGGCAGGCUAGAGUUCGGUAGGGGAGAUCGGAAUUCCUGGUGUAGCGGUGAAAUGCGCAGAUAUCAGGAGGAACACCGGUGGCGAAGGCGGAUCUCUGGGCCGAUACUGACGCUGAGGACGAAAGCGGGGGGGAAAAAAAAAAAAAAAAAACGGGGGGGAAAAA